CCUGGUCGACCGAGUGCCAGCAAUGUUGGCCAAGAUACCAUCACACUCGCAUGGAAGAGGCCAGAGGCACACAGAAAACGUGACUAUUACCAAGUGAGUUUUAAGAAAAAUGUUGACGGGUCCACAUGGCGCGUCUACAAAGAGGACUUUUACGAAUGUACUGUUGAACUAGCCGAUUUCGAUUCAGAGUGUGAAUACCUGUUUCGCGUGCGUGGUGUUUACGGAGGUAAUGAAGGCCCGUAUAGUGAAGUCAGUGAUGUAGUUACUACAUUAAAAUCGCAAGCGACAAAACUGCUUGAAUGGUCUCGACGCUAUGAACAGCAAGGUGUAUCACCUACCAAAUAUGCAUUACUGGUCCAGGAAAUUGGAAAUGCAAGAAAUGAGAAGCAUAAAUCUCGGAAAUUCGAAAUAGGAGUAGGCAGCGAAUCUCCGACAGAGAAAACAAUCUUGAUGAUUGGCGAAACAGGAACUGGUAAAAGUACCACGAUCGAUUGGAUGGUAAACUACAUACUCGGCGUGAAAUGGAAUGAUCCCUUUCGGUUUAGCGUGGUCAGUCUAGAAGAUGAUGAAACAUCACGAACGCUCUUUAAGGAACUUUCGCAAACAGAAUGGAUCACAACGUAUACAAUAUAUCACGAUAGUGGAAGUAGACUUCCAUACACAAUUAAUAUCAUUGACACACCAGGAUUUGGUGACAAUCGUGGCCGCGGUAAAGACAAAGAAAUCGUUGAACGGAUCCAGGGAUUUUUCUCCUCACCACCGCCCAAAGGCAUAUUAGCCAUCGAUGCUGUUUGCUUUUUUAUUAAAGCGCCAGAUGCCCGGCUAAAUGCAAUAGAGGGUAACAUUUUCGAAUUGAUCAUGUCAAUAUUUGGUAAAGAUAUUGGAAACAACAUUUGUGCAUUUAUUACAUUCGCUAACGCGAUGUCUACCCCUGUUUUAACAGCUCUUGACGAUUCCCAACUAGCUUUUUGCGGAAAGUUCAUGUUCAAUAAUACAGCUUUGUGUGCUUCAAAUAAAGAAGAAGAAAUAAACCCUUUGUCACAUUUAUUCUGGGAUAUGGGUGUAGGAAGUUUUAAAAACUUUUUUAAACAUUUAGACACACUUACGAAAAGGAGUCUUCAAAUGACUACUGAAGUUCUGAAUGAGAGAAAAAGACUAGAAUGUCUUCAACCAAAAUUAGAUGAAAGUAUCAUUAGAGUCAAAGAGCUUAAAACGGCCACUGGA